UCAAGCACCUUGGUGACUACGAUCAUUUCAUGCAUGUUUAUUUUUCUUUCUUAAAAUAUUGACCUUGUGAUCAUAACAAAUGGCGUCACCAAUGGGUGCAGUUGACUUCGUACAAAGCUUUUGGAAUGACCCUUACAGAUGGUCCUUGGUAAAGGGUGUUGCGUUGUUUGGUUUGGCUAUCUUCAUUGCUCAUGAACUUGAAGCUGCAGAGAUGGAGGCUGCAGCAGAGACAGCAGCACAGCUUUCAAGUCCUUCUUGAUAAAAUAUCCAUGAUGAACAAGUGACUGGAUGCCUCUUUUUGUGUUCUUGUAAAUUUUGUACAAAUAAAAAGACAAAUCACUCCA